UCCUCUGACAGCCCACUCUGCCUUGCACCAUUCCUGCCUGCCGGCUAUCCUUGUGAAGGAAGGACCGAGGGAAAGGGCUGGUGGCGUUGGGGCUGCAAGUCCGGUGACAGAGCAACAAGGCGACCUGUCAAACUGCUGGAACUAAUGCACUGCAGCUGCUGGAGUGACUCCUGAUUAUGUGUACACAUAAAAGGUGCCGGGAGAAGGACGGAUUAAACAUUGCCGGGUCUGUUAUGAGGUUAAAACACUGGGAAGGAGAAAGGCCAUAUAUGUCAUUUUGAGCUUAUCAGAAGAAA